GUGGUGUAGUGGUAUCACGUCUGCUUCGCAUGCAGAAGGCCCCGAGUUCAAACCUCGGCA
rnacentral:tRNA from 1 species